rnacentral:lncRNA from 1 species
UUGAUACAUCCUUUAAAUAGUCCAGCCCGUGCUUAGGAAUUAACGGUGGGAAUAAAUGCUUGGUCAAGAUUCAUUAAUAUUUGCUGAGAAACAGUCAGAAACUCACCAACAAAAUCUCAGGCUAUCUUUGAAUACCUUUUAUAGCUCUUGACUGUUUCUUUUUCCAAAACAGCAGUUCCAGUGCAUGGAGACUAUUCCAUAUAUGCAGUCAGACACGUUGCACGCUAUGUCUUAACAUUCCACGCGGCUUUUUCCUGCAUUCUGUCAGUAUUCAACAUUUC